AAAAAAAAUAACACAGAGAGAACCAAGCCUGAGAGGUUUCAUGAGAAAUACCUGCAGCAGGAAGAAUGUGACUGUGAUGCAGACCCAACUAAAGGAAGAAGAUGACAGUGGUUAUAUCCAGCUAAGGAAAAUCUGUGAACUAUGCUGCCUGCAGAUUAAUCUGAGGGAAGAGACUCUGGAAAAAAGGACUCACAUGAUUUGGGAUUUGGGAUGACAAGUGGUCCAAGAAUGUUUGCUGUAGAUACACGGACAUGCACUUCUUGAGUACAGUGGAACAUGGAUAACAUGGAUACAGUUCAGCUUAGAAUUCAACAGUAAGGAAGCAUUUGAAGCCAAUGAGUUUGUACAUGGAACAAAGGAGGAACCAGUAAAGUCCAUGUGAGAGGAUCUUUCAUACCCAGUCUAGUGCACUAACAAGGAAUAUAUAUAUUUUUAUUACUUAAAAGAGCUAUUUGUCGGGAAAAUAUUUCUUGAUUUCUUUUG